CUCGGAGGGCGUCAGCUUGUCUUGUCUGUGUUUUCAUCUGUCAUCAGGGGAAGGAAGCCGGCUUUAAAUACCACUGCCUGCGAAGCAUUUUCACAAGGCCCCUGGGAAGUACGCAGAUAAAGGUGACUUCCAUUUCCGCGUGGCCCAGAGCUGGCCCAUCUUCUUGCAGCGGACACAGACCUGUCUCCCACGGUGCCCUUGGAGUCUGUGCCCCCCACCUCUUCCUGCAGCCACGGUGAAGAUGUGGUUACCUGGGAGAUCCAGGGUUAUUCUGGGCACUAAAGACAUAUGAUGGGUUAGUUACUGCUGGAUUUUUGCCUUUUCUAUCAUCGCUGUUUUUAAAAUAGGUAUAAUUUACAUA
rnacentral:lncRNA from 1 species